GACGAACGCUGGCGGCGUGCUUAACACAUGCAAGUCGAACGGAAAGGCCCUGCUUGCAGGGUACUCGAGUGGCGAACGGGUGAGUAACACGUGGGUGAUCUGCCCUGCACUUCGGGAUAAGCCUGGGAAACUGGGUCUAAUACCGGAUAGGAGCCAUUUUUAGUGUGAUGGUUGGAAAGUUUUUUCGGUGUAGGAUGAGCUCGCGGCCUAUCAGCUUGUUGGUGGGGUAAUGGCCUACCAAGGCGGCGACGGGUAGCCGGCCUGAGAGGGUGGACGGCCACAUUGGGACUGAGAUACGGCCCAGACUCCGACGGGAGGCAGCAGGGGGGAAUAUUGCACAAUGGGCGCAAGCCUGAUGCAGCGACGCCGCGUGGGGGAUGACGGCCUUCGGGUUGUAAACGCCUUUCGCUAGGGACGAAGCUUUUUGUGACGGUACCUAGAGAAGAAGCACCGGCUAACUACGUG
rnacentral:rRNA from 1 species